rnacentral:tRNA from 1 species
GGGUGAUUAGCUCAGCUGGGAGAGCACCUCCCUUACAAGGAGGGGGUCGGCCGGUUCGAUCCCGUCAUCACCCACCA